rnacentral:rRNA from 1 species
CCUACGGGUGGCAGCAGUGAGGAAUAUUGGUCAAUGGCCGGAAGGCUGAACCAGCCAAGCCGCGUGAAGGACGAAGGUGCCAAGCAUUGUAAACUUCUUUUGUCAAGGGACAAAAUCAGGCUCGAGAGCCUGACCGCGGGUACUUGAAGAAAAAGCAUCGGCUAACUCCGUGCCACCAGCCGCGGUAAUACGGAGGAUGCGAGCGUUAUCCGGAUUUAUUGGGUUUAAAGGGUGCGUAGUCGGAUUGUUAAGUCAGCGGUAAAAGCUCGGGGCUCAACCCCGGCGAGCCGUUGAAACUGGCUGUCUUGAGAUGUCGAGAGGUAUGCGGAAUGCGCAGUGUAGCGGUGAAAUGCUUAGAUAUUGCGCAGAACUCCGAUUGCGAAGGCAGCAUACCGGCGGCGAUCUGACGUUGAGGCACGAAAGCGUGGGUAUCGAACAGGAUUAGAUACCCUGGUAGUC